UCCCAGAUAGUCUAGGUGGUUUAGGAUAGCUGGCUCUCACCCAGCAGACCCGGUUCGAGUCCCCGGUCUGGGAA
rnacentral:tRNA from 1 species